rnacentral:lncRNA from 1 species
AGGAAACCAUAUUGCGAACAGGUUAAAAAUUUGGGCUUUAGGCUGGGCUCAGUGGCUCAUGCCUGUAAUCCCAGCACUUUGGGAGGCUGAGGCAGGUGGAUCACCUGAGGUCAAGAGUUUGAGACCAGCCUGACCAACAUGGUGAAACCCCAUCUCUACUAAAAAAAAAAAAGACAAAAAUUAGCCCGGCAUGGUGGCAGAUGCCUGUAAUCCCAGCUACUUGGGAGGCUGAGGCAGGAGAAUCGCUUGAACCCGGGAGGCAGAGGUUGCAGUGAGCUGAGAUUGCAACAUUGCACUCCAGCCUGGGUAACAGAGUGAGACUCGAUGUCUCAAUUAAAAAAAAACAAAAAAACAAAAAACAAAACAAAACAAAAUUAGGUUUUAAAUUUAGGUAGACCUGGUUUCUCAUCUGCUUUGGCCUGGAGGUGACGCCAUUCCUUCUGCUCGGAGUCUACUGGUCAGAACUGAUCACAUGACCCUAUCCUAACUGCAGGUCCGUUUGGAAAACGUGGGACUGUACAUAGACUAUUUGGUGAACACUAGCUCUCUUUGCAGAAUCACCACCAUUAUUAUCAGAUUCAAGAUGAGUACCUUUGUUUAGGUUUACAGUAACUUUUGUUUAGGCCUACAGUUAUUGGUGGAAUUAGGACUAGAAGCAAGAUGAGAGGUUUGAGCCACAGUUGAGGAUCCUAUCUGUAAAAGCCUUUAGUUUACAUGUGGUGAAACUUAGGUUCCCAGAGACAGAGCAAGCUUUUCAAGAUGUGAGAUGAAUUUUAGGAGCAGAACUGAAUCUUGCUCUUUUUGCUCUUUUUAUUAACCACCCUUCCUCUUUCUCCUCUCCUGGAGAUUUCUGUACGACCAUUUCACAAUUAUUUCUGUGAUGUUUUUCCUCCAAAUUACUGAAUUGUUUAUUAUCACCUAGAAAGAAUAAGUCUUUCAAUGAAAUGUAUGAGCAUGUAAAUUUUAUGAUAAUGAGAAACAUUUCCUCCUAAAACUAGGAUUGAGCAUCUGGAAACAUAAAACACACAUUAAAAUGACUGAAGAGACCCCC